rnacentral:rRNA from 1 species
GUGCCAGCAGCCGCGGUAAUACGGAGGGUCCAAGCGUUAUCCGGAAUCAUUGGGUUUAAAGGGUCCGUAGGCGGUUUUGUAAGUCAGUGGUGAAAGCCCAUCGCUCAACGGUGGAACGGCCAUUGAUACUGCAAGACUUGAAUUAUUGGGAAGUAACUAGAAUAUGUAGUGUAGCGGUGAAAUGCUUAGAGAUUACAUGGAAUACCAAUUGCGAAGGCAGGUUACUACCAAUAUAUUGACGCUGAUGGACGAAAGCGUGGGGAGCGAACAGGAUUAGAUACCCUGGUAGUCC